CCUGACCUUGUGAUCUGCCCAGCUUGGCCUCCCAAAGUGCUGGGAUUACAGGCGUGAGCCACUGCACUGGGCCCAGAUCUCCUGUAGUUCUUUCAGUGCAUUCUCACAACCUUAUGUUGUUCUCUGUUUUAUGUGUAGAGAUAUUUUCCUCUAAGUGAACGGUACAGCUGUUGAAGGCAAGGACAAUGGAUACUUAAAAACAGCCUGAUGGCCUGGUGUUGGGCCUGAUCACCCCAAAAUUUCAGGCACCCAACGUGGGGCUAUGAAGACCAUGGUAAAGAAAUGCUAGAGUAUAUGGAAAUGAAGGACAUAUCAUCAAAGGACACCCGAGGAUGGCUGAAAGAAGCUUGGUGGGUAAGCUGGGCACUCUGAAGAACCAAGGUAACAAUGGGACAAAAUGAAAGUAAACAUUCUGCUUGUUUAAACUUUCUAAGGCAUUUAUUAUGGAGAGGGGGAGUGAAAGUUAGUACUCAGAAUUUAUUAACACUCUUUAGUACAGUGGAGCAGUUUUGCCUGUGGUUCCUAGAACAAGGGACAAUGGAGUUCGAUGAAUGGGAAAGAAUUGGCAGAGAUCUAAAAAAGGUGCAUAAAGAAGGAGCCAAAAUUCCAGUUUCUUUUUGGUCAGUGUGGGCAUUGAUAAAGGCAGGUCUUGAGCCAUUUCAAACAAAUGAUGAGGCAGAUUCA
rnacentral:lncRNA from 1 species